rnacentral:rRNA from 1 species
UACAGAGGGGGCAAGCGUUGUUCGGAAUUACUGGGCGUAAAGGGCGCGUAGGCGGCCUGUUAAGUCGAACGUGAAAUCCCCGGGCUCAACCCGGGAACUGCGUCCGAUACUGGCAGGCUUGAAUCCGGGAGAGGGAUGCGGAAUUCCAGGUGUAGCGGUGAAAUGCGUAGAUAUCUGGAGGAACACCGGUGGCGAAGGCGGCAUCCUGGACCGGCAUUGACGCUGAGGCGCGAAAGCCAGGGGAGCGAA